CUUCUUUGUUCUUUGGAGUUCUGAGUUCAAAUUGGAGUGUGGUGAAGAAUCUGUUUACUGGACCUGAGACCUUGGACUUGCUCUUCACAAGUAGGAAGGGAUGUUUCAGAAAGAAGAUGAGAAACUCCUCUUCCCAGGAGGCCCUCAAUCAGAGCCUGAUUGACCACUUGCUGAAUAUAUCACAGUAAGGAUUUGUUUUCUGGCAUGGUUUGGACUAAAAGUCUGCUGAUGCUUCCAUUUUUAAGAAUCUGUUAUGUUCUUUCCAUAAAUGAAACCAUACUGAACUUUUGAUUAAAUGGAAAGUCCACAAGUUCUUCCUGGAGAAGCAAAUAAAGGAGCCAGAGUCAUUUUUAUCCUGUGCCUACAAACAAGAAACAUCAUUCAUUCAAUACAGGAUCAUCCUGCUAACAGUACUCAAGAUGACUGCAAGUAAAAAGAGUGCUAUGAAGACAACGGUAGCUCAUGCACCGAAGACUGGCAGAGAAUGAGACAGGAAUUCUACAAGUAACUUGACAGGGUCCUCUAAACUUAGACAAUAUGUAAUUUGAUACGUAGUAACUUUAAUGCAAGGGAAUCAGAAGGCAGACCUGGAAAAUAUGUUGUCAAGUAUGGUUUGAAAUUGAGAAAUCGAAGAAUCCCCAAACUUACAGGUUAUUCAGAAACCUCAUCUCUGUAUUUAAUGAAUACUGUCUUCGAGAAAGGACUCAAAAGUGGUAAAUUCAUGAAUUGUCAAAUGUUACAAAAAGUGAAAUUGACUGUAUCCUAACAGAUAGGAAUUGACUAUUUACUGAUGUGAGUCUUUUCCAAAUCAAACAUCUGUGUUCUGCCAGGUAAUUUAAUGUUUUGAACAUAGAUUACUUUCAAAAUAGAAGAAAGAAUAAAUAUAUAUUGUGAUUAUA